rnacentral:rRNA from 1 species
UACGUAGGGUGCAAGCGUUAAUCGGAAUUACUGGGCGUAAAGCGUGCGCAGGCGGUUCGGUAAGACAGAUGUGAAAUCCCAGGGCUUAACCUUGGAACUGCAUUUUUAACUACCGGGCUAGAGUGUGUCAGAGGGGGGUGGAAUUCCACGUGUAGCAGUGAAAUGCGUAGAUAUGUGGAGGAACACCGAUGGCGAAGGCAGCCCCCUGGGAUAACACUGACGCUCAUGCACGAAAGCGUGGGGAGCAAACAGG